AUUGAACGCUGGCGGCAGGCCUAACACAUGCAAGUCGAGCGGAAGGUUCUUCGGAGCCGAGAGCGGCGGACGGGUGAGGAGAGCGUGGGAAUCUGCCUGUAGAUGGGGGAUAGCCCGGAGAAAUCCGGAUUAAUACCGCAUAAUACCUGAGGGUUAAAGUGGAGGAUCGCAAGACUUCACGUCUACAGAUGAGCCCAGUCAGAUUAGCUAGUUGGUAGGGUAAAGGCCUACCAAGGCGACGAUCUGUAGCUGGCCUGAGAGGGUGGCCAGCCACACUGGAACUGAGACACGGUCCAGACUCCUACGGGAGCAGCAGUGGGAAUAUUGGACAAUGGGCGCAAGCCUGAUCCAGCCAUGCCGCGUGUGUGAAGAAGGCCUCGGUGUAAG
rnacentral:rRNA from 1 species